rnacentral:snRNA from 1 species
GAUAAACGCUCUCGUUUAAAG